AGAGUUUGACUAUGGCUCAGGACGAACGCUGGCGGCGUGCUUAACACAUGCAAGUCGAGCGGAAAGGCCACUUCGGUGGUACUCGAGCGGCGAACGGGUGAGUAACACGUGAGUAAUCUGCCCCCCACUUUGGGAUAGCCACCGGAAACGGUGAUUAAUACCGGAUAUGACCUCGCACCGCAUGGUGUGUGGUGGAAAGUUUUUCGGUGGGGGAUGUGCUCGCGGCCUAUCAGCUUGAUGGUGGGGUAAUGGCCUACCAUGGCUUCGACGGGUAGCCGGCCUGAGAGGGUGACCGGCCACACUGGGACUGAGACACGGCCCAGACUCCUACGGGAGGCAGCAGUGGGGAAUAUUGGACAAUGGGCGGAAGCCUGAUCCAGCAACGCCGCGUGAGGGAUGACGGCCUUCGGGUUGUAAACCUCUUUCAGCACAGACGAAGCGAAAGUGACGGUAUGUGCAGAAGAAGCACCGGCCAACUACGUGCCAGCAGCCGCGGUAAUACGUAGGGUGCGAGCGUUGUCCGGAAUUAUUGGGCGUAAAGGGCUCGUAGGCGGUUUGCCGCGUCGGGAGUGAAAACACACAGCUUAACUGUGUGCUGGCUUCCGAUACGAGCAGACUAGAGGUAUGCAGGGGAGAACGGAAUUCCUGGUGUAGCGGUGAAAUGCGCAGAUAUCAGGAGGAACACCGGCGGCGAAGGCGGUUCUCUGGGCAUUACCUGACGCUGAGGAGCGAAAGUGUGGGGAGCGAACAGGGUUAGAUACCCUGGUAGUCCACACCGUAAACGUUGGGCGCUAGGUGUGGGGCCUAUUCCAUGGGUUCCGUGCCGCAGCUAACGCAUUAAGCGCCCCGCCUGGGGAGUACGGCCGCAAGGCUAAAACUCAAAUGAAUUGACGGGG
rnacentral:rRNA from 1 species